GAGCACUGAGAACAUCCUGUAAGUGAGGACUACACUAAAGAGCCCAUGCAGUGGGAUAAGACUGCUGAUGAGCACACUGGACCUCACAGACCCCUGCCCACAACCCCUUGGGGCCCCACUGGCAUCCUCCCUGCUCAGGGCUAAUGUUAGGCAUGAAAUGUGAGUUGUCAUGUUUGGAGCUCCUCUUCCAACGACCCAGCCAAAGCAGCUACAAACACUGUGGGGUUUGCGAAGAGUCAGUUGUGAAGAGAGCAACAAGAACAGCAUCUCUUCCCUUCUGUGUUCAGCUCCAUGGCUCAGCUCUGCUGUGAAGGCAGCAGCUCAGGUUAUGUUGGUGCCAGUGAUGGGUGCAUAGGCUGCGGCUGAGCCCUGCGAUUCUUUGUGCUGUUGGGAUGCUCCUUGCUUGACUGUUGAUAUCUAAUGCAAAGUUACUUGAGUCUCUGCGGCUGGCAGGUAAGACCUGUCCAGUGUAGACAUCACCAGGAGAGAGCCAACAUGUUGUCAUCACGAGGCUCAGCAUCCACCUGCUCCAAUGGCUCCUGUGGAGCUGGGCUUUCCAGGGAUGCUCAGCCACCCUCCUGUUGCCACCAGCUCCAAAAAAGGAGAGGCUGUUUUCUGUAUGACCCUCUGGGAAAGGCUCAGAGACAGGAUAGAUACCAAAAAGUGGGGUUUGGGUGAAAUAUCUGCAUUCAAACACAUGCACUGGAAAUUCCUCACCUUGGGAAAAACCUUUCAGGUGCCUGAAUUCAUUCAGCUCUCUCAGUGUGGACAACAGUGAGAGAUCUUAUAGUGGAAUGAGGGCACAUUGCUACUUCCUGAGCUCUGCAGCAAUCCAGACAUGGGUGACACAGCAGGAGCACGUCUGCUCUGUGCAUACACCUUCCGGCAUGGAGCUCAGGAGCUGCAGCCAUGCUCAUCAGAAUCUUGGCCAACACCGGUUGUACGUUUACAGUGCCCUCAGGGCAGUCAGGCAAGGCCGUGCUGCUCAGGUAGGACAUGAAGUGUGUUCUUCAUAUGCCAGGAAGA